GAUUAUAAGGUGGAGACAAUUAAUGAUGGAAUUACGGAGUUCAACGUGGAAUUUCACGGCCCAAAAGAAAGCCUUUAUGAAGGUGGAGUCUGGAAAAUAAGGGUCGAGUUGCCAGAUGCCUACCCUUACAAGUCUCCUUCCAUCGGGUUUCUCAACAAAAUAUUCCACCCUAAUGUUGAUGAGCUGUCUGGCUCUGUAUGUUUGGAUGUCAUCAAUCAGUCAUGGAGCCCUAUGUUUGAUCUCUUAAACGUUUUUGAGGUU
rnacentral:misc_RNA from 1 species